rnacentral:lncRNA from 1 species
AUGGUGCUGUUUAAUGCCAGGUCAGUGAACGAGAAAACAUCUUUCAUCCAAGACCUCAUCUUGGAUGAGCAUGUAGACCCGGCAUGUAUUACGGAGACCUGGCUGGAUGAGAUGGGAGGAGUUAAUCUCACCCAGCUCUGCCCGCCAGGUUACUCCGUACAGCACCAGCCGAGAUCUGGAGGGAGGGGAGGUGGGGUCGCGGUGGUCUAUAAGGAUUCCAUCCCCCUGACGAGGUGCCCCAUCCUGCAGUCGACCAUGUUUGAACGUGUCCACCUGAGGGUGGGAGACCGGGACAGAUUAGGGAUUCUGCUAGUGUACCGACCACACCGCUGCACUACAGUCUCCCUGCCUGAGCUAGCUGAGGUGGUCUCGGGCCUGGCGUUGGAGUCCCAGCGGCUCAUAGUGCUGGGGGACUUCAAUGUCCAUGCUGAGACUAACCUUUCUGGUGUGGCUCAGGACUUCAUGGCCGCCAUGGCAACCAUGGGGCUGUCCCAAUUAUUAUCUGGUCCCACCCACAGUGCAGGGCACACACUAGACCUGGUCUUCUGUCAGGGAUGGGAGGAAGGUGGCGGUGUGGAGGAGCUCACCAUCACUCCUUUGCCAUGGACCGACCAUCACCUGAUCAGAUUUAGACUUACUGCGCCCCCCAACCUCUGCAGGGGUGGUGGACCUAAAAUGGUCCGCCCCAGGAGACUUAUGGAUCCAGAAGGAUUCCUGACGGCUCUUGGGGAAUUUCCCGCCUCCUCAGCAGGUGAUCCUGUUGAUGCUCUGGUCUCUCUCUGGAAUGGAGAAAUGACUAGGGCAAUAGACACGAUCGCUCCGGAGCGUCCCCUCUCGAGUAACCGAGCUAAACCAGCUCCCUGGUUUACUGAGGAGCUGGCAGCGAUGAAGCGAAAGAAGAGGGAACUAGAGUGCAUGUGGCGAUCAGAGUAUAACGAGUCAGACCGAACACGGCUAGGCUCCUAUCUUAGGGCUUAUGCCACGGCAAUCAAAGCCGCAAGGAGAGUCCACCUUGCAGCCAACAUUGCGUCCGCACAGAACCGUCCAGCGGCGCUGUUCCAUGUCAUCAGAGGGUUGUUAACUCCCACCAAUCAAGGUGGGAGCCCUGAUAACUCGGCAGUCCGCUGUGAAGCAUUUGCUCGGUUCUUUGCGGACAAAGUCGCUCUUAUCCGUUCCGACUUUGACACCAUAUUAAUGGCAGUCUCUGAGCACCUGCUUGUCCAGUUUUGUUGGAUUCAUUUCAAUUGGUUGAGCUCGAGGAUGUGGACAAGAUCCUUUGAGAGGCGAGACCGACCACGUGCAUCCUGGACCCCUGCCCAUCCUGGCUGGUGA